rnacentral:snRNA from 1 species
CUGUAUUAUAGCUCCACAUAUACUAAAAUUGGAAUGAUACAGAGAAUAUUAGCAUGGCUCCUGCACAA